UUUUCAGACAAGACUCAGAAACCAUUUUAUUAAAUUGGAACACAAAAUGCCUGUUAUAAUAAUGUCAAGCCUUUAUCAGAAAUCAGUACAUAAGUCAGGAUACACAGCCAAAAUGAGCCAUCAACAAAAGCAGUAUAAAUUUUAAAUAAGUUUCAGAUUUCUAUACUCAAUGUGCUAAAGAAAAUAAAACCGAAAGAGCAAUUUCAAUUUCACAAUUCACAGUUGAUUGGUUUUAAUCCCAUGACACAGGUGUCAUUCUGCAGCCCCAGAACACAGAUUUCCAAAGCAGUGACUGGCAUUCUGACCCAGCAGCACACACAGAUCUUAAGUCCCUGGAUGACAUUUAGAGAAAAUUUUAAUCAACCACCCUAAUUACACACAGUUUGGGCUGACAUUUUUUAGCUAUAUUCUUUACCAAAGAUAGUUCUAGUGAAAUAGCAAAAGCAGUUUUAAAAGUUUGCCAUGCCAUUAAAUGAAGGGUUCUAAAGUCUCCCUUGGUUUUACAUUUUAUUCUCUAAUUUAAAACAAUAAGUGCAUUAAAAUGCAACCUUAAUGGAGAAAGCAAAAUCAGUUUUGCUUCUGAAUCUAGAGCACAUAUCCAAGGAGAGGCAACUUAUUGUCCCAGCAGAUAAAUGGAAUGCUUUAAAGCAGGAUCUGACAUACUCCAGUAAGGCAUUUCAAAGCAGACACAUCAUACCCAAACUAAAUCAUUAUGGUCAGUCAAGGAUACCACAGGUGAACACCAAGUAACACAGAGUUAACGUGAAAUUCUUACAAAUGACACACGAUUUACAAAACCCCAGAAAGGUACUCAGGUACCAAAAGAGGGCAAAACAAUGACCAGCCACUCCAAAAGAGUUUUGUUACUGUACAUGCCAUAUUUGCAGAGUAGAAAUAAACUGCUCUAUAUGCGCUCUGCCCUAGGAUAUCACUCAUUCUGACAUGUGGAAUUACUUUUCCUUAAAAAAAUAUAUCAUGUAGAGAAUACACCAAUAAUAAAUGAUAUAGAACAUUUAUUAUUUUCACUAGUGAGGGGGUCGCUUAAGCACUUACAAAGACUUAUAAAUGAAUCAUGAAGGUCAUCAAAAUGCAAAAACAUCUGAUAAAUGCUGCAUUAUUAGUAUUCAACAGUGCAGCAAGAUUUUUAGUAACUGCAUCGGGCUUAAUUUGGAACUAUAGCCAUGAGAAUAUCUUUAAGUUCAAACAACUGCCAAAUGUCCAAAAAUAAAAGUGUAAUUAGUAAAAAUAUGUAUUUUCCCUCCAAGUGCCCAAAGGAAGUAUUCAAUUACUUUGGAAGCCAUGAAUUUUAUCAAACACACACAAGAAUAUGAAUCUGGAACACUUCAAUUCUGAUUCAAUUCUACCCACUGAAUCUUCAUGACCUGAAGAAAGUCACUUAAAUUCUUUAGAUUUAUUCACAAAAAGUGGGCAUAAAAAUAAAGGCAUAUGUAAAAAAAAAUUUUCUAAACAUGACUACAGUAAAGCUAAAGAUGGUUACUAAGGCUUACAAUUUCAACAACUCAUUGUACAGUACAAUCAUUUUUAAUUCUGCUAAUUAUAGUUGGAGGAAACAUGGAUAAUUACAAUUCUCAGAGAAUUCAAACAGAAUUCUUUAGAAAAAUUAAUAGCUUCAACUUACUAAGCUACUAAAUCUGUUCUCCUAGAGUUGUUUAAAACAGCUAAUUAUAUAGGGGUUUGACCCUUACUCCCCUCUACCUUCUGGUAGAGCAGCUCAAAGUAGUGAAAGGAGAAGUGACAAGAGGGAGAAAAGCAGCAACAGAUUGAAAUGAGGUAUUCGCUGAUUUCAUAAACCCCAAUCAGUAAUUUACAGUUUUUUGAAGAAGCUGCAUAGUUUGGCAAAAAUACAUCAUCAGAAUUAGGGAAAAGAAAAAUUAUAUUGAAAUUUUAAAAUUUAUGACAAGCAUUUAAAAAUGACCAAUUCUAAAAUAAACUUGUAUUUGAGAAUUGUCCUCCCUCACCGUAAGCACACACAAGAAGAGAAACUGGAAGACAAAAGUCCACAGGAGGAAAAAAAAAGUGUAUUAAUUGGCUCAGGUUAUCAACUUCAUACAUCACUUUCAAAAAAAGAUAUUUAAAUGAAUGUUAAACCUUAAUUAAUGACACCCAUGCUAAGAAUUUAGGGCAGUGUAUUGCCUAAAAUUUACUUUGGAAUGUUCUUUUAAAAAAAAAAAAAAAAA
ensembl:lncRNA